UUAAAGUUUGAUUCUUGCUUUUUAUUUAGUUUUAUCAUUAAUUUGCAUGCAAGGUUUUUCGUGAAUUUAUUUUUCUAAAUGAUUAUUAUAUUUAUUCGCAGUAAUUAGUUCUAUAUAUUUAUUUGGGUUUGAUUAUGUUAUGUGAUUUAAUUUAAGUGAUUAAUUUUGUGCCAGCAGUCGCGGUUAUACAAUUACUUAAGGUAAAUUAUUUGUAUCUUUUAGUUAAUUUUUAUUUGGAUUUAAAUGGGUUGUUAAUUAGGUAGAAUUUUUAUAUUUUUUUUAUUUCUUUUUUAUAAAUGUUUCUGAGAAAUUUCUUUAUUAAACUAGGAUUAGAUACCCUAUUAUUGGAAAUGUAAAUUCUUGGAUUGAUUAUUAUUAGUUAUGAUCUUUAAAUUCAAAGAAUUUGGCGGUAACUAAGUCUUAUUAGAGGAACCUGUUCUGUAAUUGAUAAUCCACGAUUGAUUUUACUUUAGUUGUACUUGUAUACCUCUGUCAUUGAAUGUAUUAAUAGGUUAAAUUUUCUUAUUUCUUAGUUUGUCUGGAUUAAUGUUAGGUCAAGGUGCAGUUUAUAUUAAAGUAGAAAUGGGUUACAUUAUUUAUUUUUGAUUAAUUAUUGGAAUAUGGUUAUGAAUUUGGAUUUAAUAGUAAUUUUAAUUAGCGAAAUUAGUAUGAUUUAAGCUCUUGGUUAUGCACAUAUCGCCCGUCACUCUCAUCAAUUUGAGAUAAGUCGUAACAAAGUAGCCUUACUGGAAAGUGUGGCUAGAAAGA
rnacentral:ncRNA from 1 species